UUGAACGCUGGCGGCAUGCCUUACACAUGCAAGUCGAACGGUAGAGGGGCAACCCUUGAGAGUGGCGAACGGGUGAGUAAUGCAUCGGAACGUGCCCAGUCGUGGGGGAUAACGCAGCGAAAGCUGUGCUAAUACCGCAUGUGAUCUGUGGAUGAAAGCAGGGGACCGCAAGGCCUUGUGCGAUUGGAGCGGCCGAUGUCAGAUUAGCUAGUUGGUAGGGUAAAAGCCUACC
rnacentral:rRNA from 1 species